AUGGGAAGCAUCAUAUGCGCGCGCCGUGCCGCGAAGACGGUGCAGGGCUCUCAUGUGUUCGAGAUCUCAGGCUACAGCCUGCAACGGGAGCGCCUCGCGGUGUCCAGCAGAUCGGCCGUGUUCACCGUCGGAGGCUACGACUGGCAAAUUCACUUCUUCCCCGGUGGAGUCAUCGAUUGCUGCAAAGACUACGUGGCGGCGUACGUCUUCUUAGAGAGCAAGAACAAGGACAUCAGCGUGAGGGCAUCCUUCCAGCUCAGCCUGGUGGACGUCACCGGGUCUGCGCCGCCGCGUACCUUGACAACGGGGGCAACAGAGCUGAAUACCACCGAUAAAACAUGCGUCGGCCUUCACAAGUUCAUGAAAAGAAGUGAGCUGGAAGGGUCGCCUUACCUUCGCGAUGAUCGCCUCACCAUCGAGUGCGUCGCGGAGAUCGCCCUCGUCAACGAUGUGAAGUCGAUUGCUAAGGUGCCGCCUUCCGACAUCGCGGAGCAUCUUGGAAAGUUGUUGCGGGAGAAAGAUGGCACCGACGUGGUUCUCGAGGUUGAAGGAGAGGCUUUUCCUGCCCACAAGAUCGUGCUCGCAAUGCGGUCGCCCGUCUUCAAAGCGGAGCUGUAUGGUGAGAUGAGAGCAAAGGACAUGAGUUGUAUUACCAUCGGUGACAUGCAGCCCGCUGUGUUUGAGGUCCUGCUCCAUUUUAUAUACAAUGAUUAG
rnacentral:rRNA from 1 species